GGUUGUGGCUCAGUGGUAGGGUGCUUGCCUAGCAUACAUGAGGCACUGGGUUCCAUCCUCAGCACCA
rnacentral:tRNA from 1 species